rnacentral:RNase_P_RNA from 1 species
CAGGUCGGUCGGGUGAUCGCGGUUUCGCGCAAGCGGGAUCGAGGAAAGUCCGCACUCCACAGGGCACGGCGCCGGGGAAAGCCCGGAGCGGAGUGAUCUGCUGGAUGGGCCACAGAAAACAGUAGCCGCGUAAGUGCCCCUGGGCACUGGCGGUCAAAGUGAAAAGGUGGUGUAAGAGACCACCGGCGUUCGCAGUAAUGCGGGCGGCCAGGCAACCCUCGCCGGGAGCAAGGUCAAGCAGAGACAAGGAGCGGCCCGCUCCAUUGAGUCUCGGGUAGACUGCAUAGAGAGAUGAUCGCCCAUGCGGAGCAAUCCGUUGGACAAAAUGCGGCUUAUAGACCGACCUGAGGU